UGGCUAUCUGAGAAGGUGGUGGCACCAGACUGCUGUGGCAGCUCUUCGUGCCUGGAGAUUCCCUGCGUGUGGGGGAACCCCAGCACCGGUGCCGCACAGUCCCCAGCAUCACAAAACCCUCGUGCACUGCCGCAUAUCUGCAACGCCAGCUGGUGCUCCCCAUUUGUGGCAGCCUCUCUGGAAGCUCCAAGGCGGUGGGUUAGGUCAGUGGUGGGCUCACCUGCGCAACUCCUUCACCUAUUGAGCAAGCAGCUCUGGGCCACCGAACAGCCCACGAAUAUUCAAGUAGCAGUUCAUACUCGAAUGGAGCAUCAUCUUCUGCUUUAGCAUAAGCCUGUUUGACUUCCAGCUGAACCAGGGAAAAGAAACACAACGCGACACGACCAUCCCCAGGCAAAAAUAGUGGCAGCCCCCCAAGGACGUGCUAGGCGGAUUUUCAUUUACGGCUCUGGUUAUAAGUACACCAAGCUCUCCGCCUGGCAAAACCCCUUCGUUUGAUGUGAAAAGGUGGGAAGCAGGGGGGUUUCUGCAUGUUUUAUCUGCAUACACUGCUCCUUUGAGAUGCAACCGGGAACCGGGGCAUCGUGUCACAGUCUGAGGGCUGUGGAGCAGCACCUUAAAUAAGGGCUUCGCUUGCGUGUGGAUUUCUUUGCAGCCGAGUUUCUCUUCCCUUUUGUCUUAUGAGUCGACAUUAUCCUCCGCUCACAGUUCAUAUCCUCAGUUCAUAUCCUAUUCCUUAGGGUUUUAUAACAGAUCAUGUGAUUUUACUUAACUCCCUUGCUCUCUGGGCCACCAAGGUGUUUACACAAGGCGUACUGUGCAGAGGCAGUUUCGUUUCUGCAGAAAGGCUGCUCGGCGCUGGCAGCUUUCACAAUUCCUUGGACAAUCCUACCCUGUUAUGUAUUUUUUUCCUUUCAAGCCAAACCUCCUAGAAGUCAAUGAUUUUACCUGAUUGUCUUCAUGGGAAUUUAUUUCAAGUACUUUUGAAGCCUUCAUAAUUACGGAUAAUCAUAAAGAAGGUGGCAAAUAAAAAUGUCAUAAGUGGGUUUGGUUUUUAUCUU
rnacentral:lncRNA from 1 species